GAAAGAAUUGAUGAACCUUCGCCGUGGGUCCCACCCGCUGUAUAGGGACACCCCAUCUAGUCUUAACGAGCUUUGAUGCAUAAAAAAAUUCUAAAACAAUGCUUUAACAAGUAAUUUUGGGUCCGUAAUAUAGCCCAAAUCACAAAAAUGCGCGAAAAAGUAUUUAAAGGUCAAAAUUUGGGUUCGACAAAAAGUCAAUGGAAAAGUUCGUUUGUCGUGCUUCUUUCGUCGGAAGGCUCUCUUUGGGAUUUCCGAAAAGGUAGCACAUGCCUAGUUUGGCCUCACGGUAUAAAAGUUAUAGAGUUAUAAAGUUUUAACCAAAAAAAACAAAUUAAAAAAAAGAGGGAUGCAACACGAGGACUUCCCGGGAGGUCACCCAUCCUAGUACUACUCUCGCCCAAGCACGCUUAACGAAAGGUCAAAAUUUGGAGUCGACAAAAACUCAAUACAUAUGUUCCAUUGUCCUGCUUCUUUCAUCGGAGGGCUUUCUUUGGGCUUUCCGAAAAGGUAUCACAUGCCUAGUUUGGCCUCUCGGUAUAAAAGUUAUAGAGUCAUAAAGUUUUAACCAAAGAAAAAAAUUAAAAAAAAAGAGAGAUACAACACGAGGACUUCCCGGGAGGUCACCCAUCCUAGUACUACUCUCGCCCAAGCAUGCUUAACUGCGGAUUUCUGAUGGGAUCCGGUGUAUUAGUGCUGGUAUGAUCGCAUCCGUUAGUAUAUGCAAUGCAAUCGUAUAUAUUCUUUUUUGAAGACUUGAUGAACCAUUCGCCGUGGGUCGCACCCGCUAUGUAGGGAUACCCCAUCUAGUCUUAACGAGCUUUGAUGCAUGAUA
rnacentral:sRNA from 1 species